rnacentral:rRNA from 1 species
UACGAAGGGGGCUAGCGUUGCUCGGAAUCACUGGGCGUAAAGGGUGCUUAGGCGGGUCUUUAAGUCAGAGGUGAAAUCCUGGAGCUCAACUCCAGAACUGCCUUUGAUACUGAGGAUCUUGAGUUCGGGAGAGGUGAGUGGAACUGCGAGUGUAGAGGUGAAAUUCGUAGAUAUUCGCAAGAACACCAGUGGCGAAGGCGGCUCACUGGCCCGAUACUGACGCUGAGGCACGAAAGCGUGGGGAGCAAACAGG